UUGCGCACGCGCGAACGCUAUAUCCGGUGUGGUGGUCGUUUCCUCUCGGAGUUUGGCGAGAGCGGACCGACGUUAUCGAUCUCGUAGUCAUGUCGGCCUCGGUAGUGUCGGUCAUCUCGCGGUUCUUAGAAGAAUACUUGAGCACCACGCCUCAGCGUCUGAAGCUGCUGGACGCGUAUCUCCUGUAUAUACUGCUGACCGGGGCGCUGCAGUUCGGUUAUUGUCUCCUCGUGGGGACCUUUCCCUUCAACUCUUUCCUCUCGGGCUUCAUCUCUUGUGUGGGGAGCUUCAUCCUAGCGGUUUGUCUGAGAAUACAGAUCAACCCACAGAACAAAGCAGAUUUCCAAGGCAUCUCCCCAGAACGAGCCUUUGCUGAUUUUCUCUUCGCCAGCACCAUCCUGCACCUUGUUGUCAUGAACUUCGUUGGAUGAAUCAUUUCUCUUUGCUUAAUUGAGGAGUGGGAGACUAGAAGAAGUUAUCACCAGGCUUGCAGGACUCAUAUCCACUCCUCAAACACUUUCACACACCUCACAGCCCAUUCUCUGAUGGAGAUAGACAAAUAGUAGUCUUCCUCUUUACACAUGAGGUUCACUUUUUUAUAUCCCCUGGAGAAGAGCUCUUGAGAUGGCAGCUUGUUGGACACUUGGAUGUUCUUCAGGUUUAUGCUGACUACUGGCUCAGAUUCGGUGUGCUGGUGGAGAGCCAGAGAAGUUCCCUCGUUUCUGUGUCAAAACAACUUUGUACUGAGCAUUUAUUUACAUGACCUCUUCUCCUUUGCGUUGUGUAACCUUUUUGCUUCCAAAUUAAACUCCAUGCCACUCCUCUCUA